AGCAGCCGCGGUAAUUCCAGCUCCAAUAGCGUAUAUUAAAGUUGUUGCAGUUAAAAGCUCGUAGUUGAAUUUCGGGAUCAGCGCGUCGGUCGUGCCUCCGGUAUGCACUGGCGCCGCUGGUUUCUCCCUUCUGAGGAACCGUGAUGUCAUUAAUUUGGUGUUGCGGGAAAUCAGGACUGUUACUUUGAAAAAUUGAGUGUUUAAAGCGGGCACGCGCUUGAAUACAUUAGCAUGGAAUAACGAAAUAGGACGUUCGAUCUUAUUUUGUUGGUUUCUAGGAUUGACGUAAUGAUUAAUAGGGAUAGUUGGGGGCAUUAGUAUUCAAUUGUCAGAGGUGAAAUUCUUGGAUUUAUUGAAGACUAACUACUGCGAAAGCAUUUGCCAAGGAUGUUUUCAUUAAUCAAGAACGAAAGUUAGGGAUCGAAGACGAUCAGAUACCGUCGUAGUCUU
rnacentral:rRNA from 1 species